GCACGGCCACCUGACACGAAGAACGUCGGCAGUAAAGGCAUGGAUGGCACCGGACUAACCGAAAGUUCAAUGUUUGUCCCAUGGGUACCUCCUGAUGCGAGCUUUCCAUCUGCUUCCUGCAAAAAACAAGACGGUAGUGCAGACCGAGAAGGAGGACCAUGUUUGAUGAAACCGGACAGUCAUAAAUUAUAGGUCCAACGAAGUGUUAUGUAGGCAAAUGUGCUUCGGGAAGUGCACGAACGCUGUGGAGACCAAGU